rnacentral:lncRNA from 1 species
GGCCAGAGCAAGGCCAUUUUCACACUUGCUGUCAGGCAGGAGGGCCCUUCCCACAAUGUUCCCGGGGUUCUGCUGCGAGCUGGGGCCAGGGACAUCACUGCCAGGUCGGGAUGCCGUAGCCCGCCGCCUGAGGACAGCUUUAUUUAUGCUCCUGCAGAAUAUACAUGCAGGUCUUGUUUUUCUGGAUGACUAGGGAGCCAGCUCACAUAGCGUCCAUGGUUCUACAUUUAGAAUAGUGUCUUCAUUCACAUUCUUUCCACGCAGCUCACGGCUCCUGGACUGGGAGAGAGUGGUCACUUUGCCUGGGCCUGGGCCCUGGAAGCCUGCCAGCUCCUCUCGAGCUCCCAGUCUCAAGCUGGGGCUGAGGUCUCUGGCAGUGCUCUGUGCUGGGGUGAUCCACACCGGUUGUGCCCACCGAGACGGAACCAGAUGCAGAGUCCAUGGCAUGGGCCCCUUCAAGCAAACACCGCCAGCUCCUGCUGCACUUCAAAGCUCACGGCUUCUAGGACCCAAACCAGACAUGUGGUCAGGCUCUCUACCUGUGAAGAAUUAAAAGUAAGCUGGGGAAGAAAUGUGCUAAGGAGCGGGAGGAAAGCAAGUUAGGAAGACCAGGGCCCUGCUAAAUGGUUUCACACUCCAAAGCAAACUCCCCCAUAAAAUGGGGUUUAAUGAUGGAGCCUUCCCUAAAAUCUGGAACAAAAUGAUUUGGGUCAUACACGGAUAACAUGUGAACUGGCUAUGAAUUUGUUUCAAUGCGUAAUAGAGGGAAAAAAUGAACCAGGACAUCAAGCCUAUGUUUUUGCAGGGAUUGCUAUUUACCGCAAAGCUGUAUUUUUAAAAAAGUCAAUCUACAUUCUUCUUACAAAAACAUAGUAAGUGAUGGUAUGGGUGGGUGAAGGUGUGGCAAAAAUCAUUUUAAAAAACCAAAUGACUAGCAUUUGAGAAGCUUUGCAAUAUGCGAGUAUAUCUGUGUACAUGAAUUUAUUUGAUCCUCGACCCAGCAGAGCUGAGGCA